rnacentral:lncRNA from 1 species
CGAUUGUCCUAUCGAUAUAGGCUCGUGCCAAGAGAGAAGACAUGUGGAUAUAAAAUUUUUAUUUAAAAUAAAGUUAUCGGUAAUACAUUCGUAAAUUUUUCUAGCUCCAUGGUCGCGGGAGGUCUGCUCCUCCGAGCUCCUUGAGGUAGUAAGUUCCGGGACGGACUACCUCCUUGACUUCGUACGGGCCUUCCCAAUUCGGGGCAAGCUUCCCUCG